CUGGCCUCCAUCUUGAAAACGGAAAAUAAAAACAGCAGACCUAUGAAGGUCGAAGGGGAAGAAAAGCUGUAUCGAUUGUUGAGAUCUGGCGACUUGUUUAAAUUUCAUCAGCCUCACUUCUAUGAACUCUCAGAGCUGAUUACCAACUCCUACCACUGUUAACCCUCAUCCAGGAACAAGCUUAUGUCUUUAACAUUCUGAGUGGGCUUCAGCAUCCUUGCAUAUGUUCAAUUCUUAAAAACCUGUUGAAAUAAAAGAUCAGGAGACAUAGGAAGGAUGCCAGAAGAGAGCGUGGCCUCACGUGUACCAGCUCUCUGCUCUCCUUUGCCUUGGGACGUUCCAUCCCUGGAAGUUUCCCUGCCCACAUCUUUGUAGAGAGUCCAUUCUCCAAGCUUCAGUGUGUCAUCUGUGAGGACCGUGACCCACCUGGUACAUCGCCUCAGGGCAUUCAUUUCAGGCUCCUUCUAAAUGGCCAAGAGACAACACCAACAUUUUUGUAAUGGCCUGCAAGGCCUUCCGAGAUCUACCUCCUGCAACUCAGCUUCUCCUGUGCUCUCCUUCUGGACUCACUCUGCCUCAGCAACACUGGUCCCUGUUGCCCCACCAAUAUGCCAGGUAAACCUCAGGUUCUCCUCCUGCCUUUUGCUAAGUAUAUGUCUUGAUGACAAGCCUUCUGCUGAUGAGCUGUGUUUCUGGACCGAUCAUGGUAGAAGUCAAUUAACGUGUCCCUCACUUGGGGUUUCUCAAGGCUGCACUGAUGAGGAAACUGAAACAGAAAAUCCAGAGUAAAUUCCACCAGGCCACACAGCAAGGUCUGAUAGAGCCAGGAGAGACUUUAUGAAAUCCAGACUCUCACACUAAUGCUCUAUCAGCUAGACCUCCAUGUGAGUCUCCCCAAUGUAGGUAGGAAGUGCUUUCCCUAAAAUGCUCAUAAAGCAAAUCAGAGCAAUGCUGCAUUCCAUGUGAUUUCUAAUUUGAAAUGCAAACAAUUGCCAAUUUGUUUGACUUGUAUUUAUAAUUAUUUCCUUGUGAAUUACUCAUCACUAAAUGCUUUAUAAAUAUUUUCUCUUUUUUUCCUCAAUGUCUAUGGAAUGAUCACAGCAUAGAAAAUGUUGGCUUUCAAGGAUUUAUUAAUAUCUCCUUUUGAAAUAACAUGUAUUUGUAAGACAGAAUAAAAUCACUUUAAAGAAACAAA
rnacentral:lncRNA from 1 species